rnacentral:tRNA from 1 species
CGAGGUGUGGCGCAGUUGGUAGCGCGUAUGGUUCGGGACCAUAAGGCCGUGAGUUCGAGUCUCACCACUUCGACCA